rnacentral:lncRNA from 7 species
GUAAGGAGGAGAGGAGGAUCCUGCCAAGGAGACAUCUCCAGAGACCUUUUAUUUUUACCCAAACCUCUUUCUUUUUAAAGUUUUUAGCACUUUGAACUGAAAUUUCAGUACAGCAGCAGAUGUUACUUAUCAAAUCCCUUCUAAAUAUUCUCUGUUCUACAGCAAACUGUAUUUUGAGAUGACAAAUAUGACCUUACAAGGAGCUGGGCAGCUAACUGAGGACCCACUGCCUUGCUGGGGUGAGCCUGGCCUUUAAAGCCCCAUGGUAAGCAAGGCAGCACCUGCUCCUGUUCCUAGAUGCGUCCUGUUCCUGAACGCAAAACUCCUGCUGCAGGGAGCGGUUGAACUGGGAUGAGUUAGUCCAGGUAUGGAGCAAUCCAGCAGUCUUCAGUCACCAGCUACCUCCGGGGCCACUGUCCCUGUGGGCCCUUUGGUCACUGUGGAUGUGGAGCUGCCACGGGACCCCAGAAUCAACUGCUGCAUCCCCAUGGUGAGGGGUGUCCUGGUGGGACCUCACCCUGUGCAUCUCCUGGGUAUGACCACGUGCUG